rnacentral:lncRNA from 1 species
GGGUUCGUAUGAAAGUACUGUGUAAACCACUCAUUCAAUAUCUAAAAGAAGGUUUCUUUAGCCUCACCCCCAUGAUUACUCGUCACAGUCUAGAUUUGGAAGGUGCUGUCCCUUGAGCGGGAGCUGGCGCGUUACUUUCUACAUCAUCUGCUACAACUCAUUCGGGAUCCAUUGCUAUAUAAAAACACAUUGGAAAUGUUAGGUGUAAGACCCCUUGCCCGUAUCUGAAGUCAGGAUAGGGCUUGAGGCGUUACCGGACAAAAACAUA